CCUACGGGAGGCAGCAGUGAGGAAUAUUGGUCAAUGGGCGCGAGCCUGAACCAGCCAAGUAGCGUGAAGGAUGACUGCCCUACGGGUUGUAAACUUCUUUUAUAAAGGAAUAAAGUUAGGCACGUGUGCCUUUUUGAAUGUACUUUAUGAAUAAGGAUCGGCUAACUCCGUGCCAGCAGCCGCGGUAAUACGGAGGAUCCGAGCGUUAUCCGGAUUUAUUGGGUUUAAAGGGAGCGUAGAUGGGUUGUUAAGUCAGUUGUGAAAUUUUGGGGCUCAACCGUAAAACUGCAAUUGAUACUGGCAGCCUUGAGUACAGUUGAGGUAGGCGGAAUUCGUGGUGUAGCGGUGAAAUGCUUAGAUAUCACGCAGAACUCCGAUUGCGAAGGCAGCUUACUAACC
rnacentral:rRNA from 1 species